ensembl:lncRNA LINC02275 long intergenic non-protein coding RNA 2275
CUACUUACUUGCUGUGCUUCUCUGAGUGCCUCGUGGCCUCUUUAUCACCACCUGUUGAAGGAAAUGUUAGAUCCAGAUAUGGAUGGAAGGUUCUAGGGGCUAAGUGCAUGUUUGAGUGAAAGCUGUAAGAGAGCUAAUGAGCACAGAAUCUAGAAAAAAAAAUAGAUGUAACCAGACAUAAAGGAAAUUCAAAUGAAUUCGAGGUUGAAAUUGGUCUAAGGAACAAUAUUUAGCUUUGAAGGUGAAUUUCAGCAUUGCCUUCCCUUUUGCUGAAUUUGCAGUUUCCCAUAUGGCAUCCAGGUAUACACACAGCUGCAUCGUGUCACUGCAAGCGGCUCCCAGAGUUGUUCCUGUUCAUCCAGGAAGAAAGAAAAUCCCGCCAAAGAUUGAGAGAGAUCAAUAAAUGUAUUUCCAAAGAACCUGAAAGAAGAUGUUUCCAUUUGGCUGUCUUACCCUCUAUCCAAGCUCAGAGGGAAAUGCAUUCAAGAACGUUAACGGCCAGCACAAAUUCCAUUCCAAGCCAUGGAGCGGGAAGGGCACAUGAUACCAAGUGUCCCACCAGACGGCCAUCUUGCUAACUAAUACACCUCGGGAUUACAUUUGCAUUUACACAAAAUGUGAGCUUUGGGAGCCAGACGUAUUAUUUUGGUUAAUAGUUUGGCACGUUCUCAGCUUGGAAGCCUGAGCAUAUGUGAUGGGUCAGUAACACAAUAAAAGUAACGGGGAAGCAUUUCUUUCCCCAGUGGUGAAUUUCUACCCUAUUCAGGAAACAGACUUCCCAACUCAGCCAUUACAGCUGUCUGGAUCGUUCAUACCAUUUGCUGUUAAAUAUACCCAAGUAGGAAAAACAGUGUCUUUGUAUUUGCUGUUAAAUGUAAUCAGAGACAAUCUUUACGGUCAUUCGGGAUCAUUACUAUCAGCAUAAUUACUGCUUUAGAGAACAAUAAUCAUACAUAUGUGUGGUAUAGAUAUGCGGGGAGUCCAAUGCAGAAAUGCAGAAGAGACAAAAGUGCCUGUUAAUAUUUUACGAAAGCUGUAAUUUUAUUGAAAAUUAACUAAUUUACCUAAAGGAACAACUUCGUAUAGGAUUUUUUAGCUCAAUGUGUUCAACAAAGUAGAAAAAAUUACAGGGGGGAAAAGAAACCCUUACCCAGUACAUUGAUGCCUGACAUGACGUGAUUAGAAGUAAUCUAUAUUUUGCAAGUUUAAGAACUAUCUCUAGUUAAGAUGUAAUACCUUUAUAUGAGAAUGUGCAGCGACUCCUCGAGUCAAUAACUGUGUAAGUGUCUGUGUGUGUCCAUUUAUUUUGUAAAAGAGAGAUGAUAUGUUAAAA